GUAGUUGAUACCUCCUGUGUCAUGGCAUGUGGCGAAUGAAUUGCUCGAUCUAGAGCCGCAAGAGUAUCCAAGACCAACACCCAAGAUGGACCCAACACAUUGUGCAAUCGGUGAGCAAUAUUGAAGAGAGUCCUCAAGGCCUGCACAUUCUUAGGUGUAAGGACCACAGUGUCCCUUUGAUCAGUGAAGGGCUCCAAUCGUUUUGAAUUAGGAGACUGUAGGAUGCUCU
rnacentral:misc_RNA from 1 species